rnacentral:rRNA from 1 species
AGACGAGGUGCUGCAGUGCUGUCGUCAGCUCGUGUCGUGAGUAUUGGUUGGGUUAAGUCCCGUAACGAGCGCCAACCUUGUCCUUAGUUACCAGCACGUUAUGGUGGGCACUCUAAGGAGACUGCCGGUGACAAACCGGAGGAAGGUGGGAUGACGUCAAGUCAUCAUGGCCCUUACGGCCUGGGCUACACACGUGCUACAAUGGCAGGUACAAAGGGCAGCCACUUAGCGAUAAGGCGCGAAUCCCAUAAAACCUGUCUCAGUCCGGAUUGGAGUCUGCAACUCGACUCCAUGAAGUUGGAAUCGCUAGUAAUCGCAGAUCAGCACGCUGCGGUGAAUACGUUCCCGGGCCUU